rnacentral:lncRNA from 1 species
UUUUUGUAAUUAAAAUAAGUUAUAAUAUUUGUGGAUUUUAAUUUGAUUGACAGCAGUGCAAUGAAGUGAGCAUAGAUAUUCCAGAAUGAGUGGACAAAGUGGAUUUUUUACAAAAUUAUUACAAAAAAAUAAAAAAAUAAUUAAAAUGUUAUCCCUUUUUCUUUAUUUACCAAAAUAUUAUAAAUUUUUUUUAUUUACCAAAAUAUACCAAAAAAAACAAAAACCUG